rnacentral:sRNA from 1 species
GACCACCCUGCGGGGUCAAGGCCAUACGGACAGCCGGGUCGAAUGCCGA